rnacentral:rRNA from 1 species
GAUGAACGCUGGCGGCGUGCUUAACACAUGCAAGUCGAACGAUGAACCCGGAGCUUGCUCUGGGGGAUUAGUGGCGAACGGGUGAGUAACACGUGAGUAACCUGCCCUGGACUCUGGGAUAAGCGUUGGAAACGACGUCUAAUACCGGAUAGGACCUUGGAUCGCAUGAUCUGGGGUGGAAAGUUUUUUCGGUCUGGGAUGGACUCGCGGCCUAUCAGCUUGUUGGUGAGGUAAUGGCUCACCAAGGCGUCGACGGGUAGCCGGCCUGAGAGGGUGACCGGCCACACUGGGACUGAGACACGGCCCAGACUCCUACGGGAGGCAGCAGUGGGGAAUAUUGCACAAUGGGCGAAAGCCUGAUGCAGCAACGCCGCGUGCGGGAUGACGGCCUUCGGGUUGUAAACCGCUUUUAGUAGGGAAGAAGGGCUUCGGCUUGACGGUACCUGCAGAAAAAGGACCGGCUAACUACGUG